UGGGGAAUUUUGGACAAUGGGCGAAAGCCUGAUCCAGCAAUGCCGCGUGUGUGAAGAAGGCCUUCGGGUUGUAAAGCACUUUUGUCCGGAAAGAAAUCCUUGGCUCUAAUACAGUCGGGGGAUGACGGUACCGGAAGAAUAAGCACCGGCUAACUACGUGCCAGCAGCCGCGGUAAUACGUAGGGUGCAAGCGUUAAUCGGAAUUACUGGGCGUAAAGCGUGCGCAGGCGGUUUGCUAAGACCGAUGUGAAAUCCCCGGGCUCAACCUGGGAACUGCAUUGGUGACUGGCAGGCUAGAGUAUGGCAGAGGGGGGUAGAAUUCCACGUGUAGCAGUGAAAUGCGUAGAGAUGUGGAGGAAUACCGAUGGCGAAGGCAGCCCCCUGGGCCAAUACUGGCGCUCAUGCACGAAAGCGUGGGGAGCAAACAGGAUUCAGAUACCCUGGUAGUCCACGCCCUAAACGAUGUCAACUAGUUGUUGGGGAUUCAUUUCCUUAGUAACGUAGCUAACGCGUGAAGUUGACCGCCUGGGGAGUACGGUCGCAAGAUU
rnacentral:rRNA from 1 species